rnacentral:rRNA from 1 species
UACAGAGGGUGCGAGCGUUAAUCGGAAUUACUGGGCGUAAAGCGUGCGCAGGCGGUGAUGUAAGACAGAUGUGAAAUCCCCGGGCUCAACCUGGGGACUGCAUUUGUGACUGCAUCGCUGGAGUGCGGCAGAGGGGGAUGGAAUUCCGCGUGUAGCAGUGAAAUGCGUAGAUAUGCGGAGGAACACCGAUGGCGAAGGCAAUCCCCUGGGCCUGCACUGACGCUCAUGCACGAAAGCGUAGAAAGCAAACAGG